rnacentral:rRNA from 1 species
GAUGAACGCUGGCGGCGUGCCUAAUACAUGCAAGUCGAGCGAACAGACGAGGAGCUUGCUCCUCUGACGUUAGCGGCGGACGGGUGAGUAACACGUGGAUAACCUACCUAUAAGACUGGGAUAACUUCGGGAAACCGGAGCUAAUACCGGAUAAUAUAUUGAACCGCAUGGUUCAAUAGUGAAAAACGGUUUUGCUGUCACUUAUAGAUGGAUCCGCGCCGCAUUAGCUAGUUGGUAAGGUAACAGCUUACCAAGGCAACGAUGCGUAGCCGACCUGAGAGGGUGAUCGGACACACUGGAACUGAGACACGGUCCAGACUCCUACGGGAGGCAGCAGUAGGGAAUCUUCCGCAAUGGGCGAAAGCCUGACGGAGCAACGCCGCGUGAGUGAUGAAGGUCUUCGGAUCGUAAAACUCUGUUAUUAGGGAAGAACAAAUGUGUAAGUAACUAUGCACGUCUUGAGGGUACCUAAUCAGAAAGCCACGGCUAACUACGUG